rnacentral:rRNA from 1 species
UACGUAGGAGGCAAGCGUUGUCCGGAAUUACUGGGCGUAAAGCGCGCGUAGGUGGCCUCAUAAGUCCGUUGUGAAAGUCAAAGGCUCAACCUUUGAAAGCCGAUGGAUACUGUGAGACUAGAGUACGGAAGAGGCGAGUGGAAUUCCUGGUGUAGCGGUGGAAUGCGCAGAUAUCAGGAGGAACACCAAUAGCGAAGGCAGCUCGCUGGGACGUUACUGACACUGAGGCGCGAAAGCGUGGGGGAGCGAACAGG